rnacentral:rRNA from 1 species
UACGUAGGGGGCUAGCGUUGUCCGGAAUCAUUGGGCGUAAAGAGCGUGUAGGCGGCCCGGUAAGUCGGGUGUGAAAACUCCAGGCUCAACCUGGAGACGCCACCCGAUACUGCUGUGGCUAGAGUCCGGUAGGGGAGCAUGGAAUUCCUGGUGUAGCGGUGAAAUGCGCAGAUAUCAGGAGGAACACCAGUGGCGAAGGCGGUGCUCUGGGCCGGAACUGACGCUGAGGAGCGAAAGCGUGGGGAGCGAACAGG